rnacentral:tRNA from 2 species
GGCCAGGUAGCUCAGUUGGUAGAGCACCGGACUGAAAAUCCGGGUGUCGGCGGUUCGAUUCCGUCCCUGGCCA